rnacentral:rRNA from 2 species
UGAGGUGCUUGCACCUGAUUGAUUUUGGUCGCCAACGAGUGGCGGACGGGUGAGUAACACGUAGGUAACCUGCCCAGAAGCGGGGGACAACAUUUGGAAACAGAUGCUAAUACCGCAUAACAACGUUGUUCGCAUGAACAACGCUUAAAAGAUGGCUUCUCGCUAUCACUUCUGGAUGGACCUGCGGUGCAUUAGCUUGUUGGUGGGGUAAUGGCCUACCAAGGCGAUGAUGCAUAGCCGAGUUGAGAGACUGAUCGGCCACAAUGGGACUGAGACACGGCCCAUACUCCUACGGGAGGCAGCAGUAGGGAAUCUUCCACAAUGGGCGCAAGCCUGAUGGAGCAACACCGCGUGAGUGAAGAAGGGUUUCGGCUCGUAAAGCUCUGUUGUUAAAGAAGAACACGUAUGAGAGUAACUGUUCAUACGUUGACGGUAUUUAACCAGAAAGUCACGGCUAACUACGUGCCAGCAGCCGCGGUAAUACGUAGGUGGCAAGCGUUAUCCGGAUUUAUUGGGCGUAAAGAGAGUGCAGGCGGUUUUCUAAGUCUGAUGUGAAAGCCUUCGGCUUAACCGGAGAAGUGCAUCGGAAACUGGAUAACUUGAGUGCAGAAGAGGGUAGUGGAACUCCAUGUGUAGCGGUGGAAUGCGUAGAUAUAUGGAAGAACACCAGUGGCGAAGGCGGCUACCUGGUCUGCAACUGACGCUGAGACUCGAAAGCAUGGGUAGCGAACAGGAUUAGAUACCCUGGUAGUCCAUGCCGUAAACGAUGAGUGCUAGGUGUUGGAGGGUUUCCGCCCUUCAGUGCCGGAGCUAACGCAUUAAGCACUCCGCCUGGGGAGUACGACCGCAAGGUUGAAACUCAAAGGAAUUGACGGGGGCCCGCACAAGCGGUGGAGCAUGUGGUUUAAUUCGAAGCUACGCGAAGAACCUUACCAGGUCUUGACAUCUUGCGCCAACCCUAGAGAUAGGGCGUUUCCUUCGGGAACGCAAUGACAGGUGGUGCAUGGUCGUCGUCAGCUCGUGUCGUGAGAUGUUGGGUUAAGUCCCGCAACGAGCGCAACCCUUGUUACUAGUUGCCAGCAUUAAGUUGGGCACUCUAGGUGA